GAGCCCUCUGUUUCCUUUCGCAUCGGCCGGAUUGUAAGCUUGGAGACUAUGCGUUUUGAAGGAGAUGGUGAAGAGGCAACUCAGAGAGAAAACUGCAGGGUUUUAGAGAGCCCUAGGAGUAGAAGCAGAAGCAACAGGUAGGCAACAGCGAAGUAGGAAAGCAUGAGGCACAUUUGAUCAAUCACUGAUUGUUAUAAUUCAAGGCAGCGUAAUUCACUGCUGCGAGAGGUGGGACUGAGGAACUACGCAAGCAAUGUCUCUGAGUAUAACACUGUUAUUGGUUCUCUCACCGCGUAGAGAAGGCAUUUCUUGCUGAGAGAUGUGUAUGAUGAUAUGAUGCUGGAUGGAGUACAGCCAACUAGGGAUACAUUCCAUUCUUUCAUCGUUGGAACCAUGAAAAGCUCUUGGUUGCAGGACGCUUUCUACUUUUCUGACCAAAUGAAAUCCAUGGGUUUGGUCCCUGAUGUAUGUAUGUAUGUAUGUAUUUGUAUAUAUAUGCUUCUUUUUUUUUUUUUUUUCGUUUUUGUUUUUUUUUCACAUGGAUCUGCAUUAAUUCUUAUCUGCAGACUAUUAGAUUCUUUCAAGAUUGGAAAUUUUGUAUAAAGUUACUUUGUGUUUUUUUUUUCUUUUUUUUUUCCCUAGCUAUUACAAUGUAUUGCUUUGUGUUAUAGGUUACUUUAUUCAACAUUUUAGUUUCUUGAUGUAGUGCAGAUGAACUCUGUCACUGUUGACUCGAGGCCAAAGUGCUUGGUUGGUAUUAUUUUUUAUGGUUACCCUUCUUAUUCUAGAAUGUAUGCAGAAGAAACAAGUUACUACUUUUUCUCUAGGUGAUUGAUGAAAUAGAUGGAGCUCUUGGUGAUGGCAAAGGUGCCGUGGAGGUUAUUCUAAAGAUGGUAAUUGUGUGUUUUAUAUUAUUAUUAUUUUUUUGGGUUUUGUGUGUUUUCCAUUAUUGAAUGCUGUUUAUUUAUUAAAUUCAAUUGUCUGCACGCUUAUUUGUGUUUUAAUAUAAUUGUAGUUAUAGUUAUUUUAUUACUAUAAUUGCUAUUGGUGAUUAAAUAUAACUGCUUUCGUUGUUAUCAGUUAUUGUUGUCAUGUAUAAUUCUUGUUUUCCUUAAUGUUUAAUGCAAACUGUCAGUUAUUGCAUUUACUUCAUUAUCAACAUGAGAAUCAUAAGGGAAAUUUACUGUUUAAACUCCAUGGUUGCACAUUCUAUACGUUAACAGAAACCUCCAUUUCUACCGAGGGUAAUAUAUUCAACUAUGGUGGUUUUUAUUUCCCAGUGCUCAUUAUAUUUUUCACUUUUAUUUUAUAUUGUUCAUAUAGGUUUCUGCAGAUAAGAAGUCUAAUACAGGGAAGGAGAAUUUUCCAAAUGAAGAAAAUCAUGAAAGUAUAUAGAAAGUUUAUCAUUCAUAUGGAGUUUCCUUUUCAUGAUUCCCUGGAAAAUGAUAUUUCGUUUGAUUGCAUCCACGUAUCAAAUCUGUCUCUGUUUUAGUGGAGAUGCCUCGUAUGCUUUUAAUGUUGUCACUAAAGUUUGGCAUUAUACCAAUUGUGGUGCCGGUUGGUGUUCGAGAUUUUGACAUUGAUGGAGAACAUUGGGUCAAUUCGGGAUUGAUACCAACAGAGGCUUUUGUAGGAGUUGUAAUAUUCUCUAGGAGCUGUAAUAUUCUCUAAUUUUUAUUCAUAAAACACUUGUACAAUUUCCUCCUGGUAAUUCAGAUUUUGUUUUUAG